AGACAUCUGAGUCACUCCUCAACCCAGAUACACAUCCUGGCUAUUUCCUCAGGAUUGACUAGAGAUGACUAAUGGCUGGGCUCUCUAAGAUUUUCCCAGAACUCUUGAUAACUCCAAUCUCACAUAAAAGAACGUCCUCUUCUAACCAUCUGCUUUCUCACAAAACCUACCCUGACACGUUGGGAAGAUUCUGCGCUGCAGGGUGAUCUGCGGAGAGGUUCAUCAGGUGAAGAGUCGCCGUGAAAAUGGCCAGGUUCCCCGAGGUGCAACGCUUACAGUGAUAAUAAUUAAGAGGGAAGGUCCAGGGAAAAUACGGAAGAGGCAGACCAGCAGCCGACGGACAGAGACGAUAACGGAAGAACCAUUAGGGAGGUUGCGAAUUAUGGCAGAGGACAGGACGUUCUGGAGAAAGCAAAUCCAUGAGUCGCUGUGAACCGGAAACGACUCGACGGCACUCGAUGAUAAUAAUGAUUCCAUAUUAUUAUGUAAUAAUAAUGAACAAUAAUAACGAGCCAUAAUAAUAAACUACGGUAUUUGUUAA